AGUGAACGCUGGCGGUAGGCCUAACACAUGCAAGUCGAACGGCAGCACAGUAAGAGCUUGCUCUUACGGGUGGCGAGUGGCGGACGGGUGAGGAAUACAUCGGAAUCUACUUUUUCGUGGGGGAUAACGUAGGGAAACUUACGCUAAUACCGCAUACGACCUACGGGUGAAAGCAGGGGAUCUUCGGACCUUGCGCGAUUGAAUGAGCCGAUGUCGGAUUAGCUAGUUGGCGGGGUAAAGGCCCACCAAGGCGACGAUCCGUAGCUGGUCUGAGCGGAUGAUCAGCCACACUGGAACUGAGACACGGUCCAGACACCGACGGGAGGCAGCAGUGGGGAAUAUUGGACAAUGGGCGCAAGCCUGAUCCAGCCAUACCGCGUGGGUGAAGAAGGCCUUCGGGUGGGAAAGCCCUUUUGUUGGGAAAGAAAAGCAGCAGGUUAAUACCCCGCUGUUCUGACGGUACCCAAAGAAUAAGCACCGGCUAACUUCGUG
rnacentral:rRNA from 1 species